AUGCUGGCGCUGAAGCGGCUCAUGAACAGCCAACAGCGGGAGAGGCGGCGCCGUCGCAGACUCCAAGCUCGUGAUGGAUCGAUUACUUCUACAUCCAAAAGAGACGACUGGCUUCUCUGUCGAGAAGAUGGUAAAUCUCUUCUUUGUGGUAAGCGAUUGAGAGAUUCAGUGUCAAACCUCCCACAGGACAUCUGGUGCCACAUACAUUCUCUGAUGCCAAUGCAAGAUUCUGCUCGUUCUGCUUGUGUAUCACAUGCAUUUCUAGAUUCAUGGAGACACCAUCCGAACCUCAUCUUAAAUAAGAAAACGCUGGGCUUGGAACAAAAUGCAUGUGGAAAGGGUGAUAUGGCGAGGGCUUUCACUAGCAAAGUUGACCAGAUUCUGAAAAACCACUCACACACUGCCACGAAGAUACUCAAGCUUGACAUGUUUGAUUGUCACGAUUUCUACAUUUCUUGUCUCAAUAAUUGGCUUGAGAUUGCUAUUACACCAGGGAUUGAAAAACUGGUCCUUUUUCUGCCUUCGGGAUACCAAGAAGUGUACACCUUCCCAUGCUCACGUUUAUUUGGUCAGAAUGGAAGCUCACUUCGGUAUCUUCAUCUCAAUUACUGCACCUUCCGUCCUACAGUUGGAUUUGGUUUCUUGAGAAGCUUAACAAAGCUGUAUUUGCGUAAUGUGAGGAUUACAGGGGGAGAGUUAGGGUGCCUUCUUUCUAAUUCUUUGGCUUUGCAGCGGUUGGAACUCAGGUAUUGCAGUGAAAUAAUCUGCCUGAAGAUACCAUGCGUGCUGGAGCGACUAAGCUGCCUCACUGUUUCUGCAUGCAAUGCGCUGCAAAUUGUUGAGAGCAAUGCUCCGAACCUCUCCACCUUCAACUUUGAUGGCGACAUAGUACAGCGCUCUCUCAGACAACCAUUGCAAGUUAAGGACCUAUAUAUGAUAUGUCCAAAUGAGUCAAACCUUCUCUGCUACGCUAUUACCAAGCUUCCAUAUGUUGUGUCAAACAUUGAAGAUCUUAGAUUGUCUUCAAUUAGUGGUGAGAGGGUUAAUACACCGAUGCCAGCUGCGAAAUUCCUCCACCUCAAGUUCUUGGAAAUUUAUCUUGAUGGAGAUCUUUCCCCAGGAUAUGAUUAUUUGUCUUUGGUUUCUUUUCUCGAUGCUUCUCCUGCUUUGGAGACUUUCAUCUUCCGUGUGGAUCAGGAUGAAAUGCUGUUUGAUUCGAUUUCGGGGGGUGCCUUACAAAUGAGGAAGAUGCCUGAACACAAGCAUGACAGCCUCAAGAAUGUGAAGAUUCUUGGCUUCUGCUCUGCAAAGAGCAUGGUUGAGCUAACAUGCCAUAUUCUAGAGAAUGCUACAUCACUGGAAUGUAUCACCUUGGACACCAUAUAUGAUGCAGAAGACGAAGACUUUGUCGGUAGAUGUUCUGAAACUUCUGCAUGGAGAUCCGGUAAAUGCUCCCCCCAGACAAGUGAGAUGAUGUUGGAAUCUAAUAAAGCUCUUAUCGCCAUUGAGGGAUACAUCGUGAGGAAAGUUCCCUCUACUGUUAAAUUAAAUGUUCGGGGGGCCUGUAGCCGGUGCCAUACUCCAGAGCUGAUCUUGAGUUGA
rnacentral:rRNA from 1 species